CUACGGUGUUACAGAGAGCCAUGACUACAAAAGCUCAGGGCUUAGAGAGAACCUGAGAGAUUCUGCCAACUUCAGAUACUUUUGCCUGGGUUGAAUGUGGAUGUGAAGGAGAGAAAAUUGGUGAGGAACACCUCAGGGAACACAUCAUGUACCAUAUUAAAGAGAUUGGAUUUAUCCUAAAAGCUACAGGGAGCUAACAAAGAAAGGCUGUAAUGGAGGACACUGAUGUGUUCUGAUUUGUGGCUCGCGCUGGUAACAAUAUCAAGAGUGGAUGCAGGGCAUGGGGAUGUGACAGUUGUUGUAUCAAUUAUUGCAGUAAAUGACAAGGGCCAGAAUUUAAACAAAUAUGAAAUGUCAGUAGGGAUAGAAUUUUUCUAUCAAAAAUAAUUAGGCUUUCCAACUAUGCUUAAUAAAUUUAAUAUGUUGAAUAGCUUGCAG
rnacentral:lncRNA from 1 species